GUAACACAAAGUAAAAAAAAAGAAAAAGAAAAAAAAGAAAUAUCCCUUUGUUUUAAAAUAUUUUCCUAAUUCUUCCUUUCCCCUCUCUUUUUUUUUUUUUUUUU
rnacentral:ribozyme from 1 species